ACUUAUGGCUACACCACCCUCAAAGCACCCAAUCUUGUCAGAUCUCAGAAGCUAAGCAGGGCCGGGCCUGGUUAAUAUUUGGAUGGGAGACCACCUGGGAAUACCGGCUGUCAUAUGAC
rnacentral:rRNA from 1 species